rnacentral:rRNA from 1 species
UACGAAGGGGCUAGCGUUGUUCGGAUUUACUGGGCGUAAAGCGCACGUAGGCGGAUUGUUAAGUCGGGGGUGAAAUCCUGGAGCUCAACUCCAGAAUUGCCUUCGAUACUGGCUUUCUAGAGGCUGGAAGAGGUUAGUGGAAUUCCCAGUGUAGAGGUGAAAUUCGUAGAUAUUGGGAAGAACACCCAGUGGCGAAGGCG